UACGUAGGGGGCUAGCGUUGUCCGGAAUCAUUGGGCGUAAAGAGCGCGUAGGCGGCCAGAUAAGUCCGGUGUGAAAGUCAAAGGCUCAACCUUUGAAUGCCGCUGGAAACUGUCUGGCUAGAGUCCGGGAGGGGCGAGUGGAAUUCCCGGUGUAGAGGUGAAAUUCGUAGAUAUCGGGAGGAACACCGGUGGCGAAGGCGGCGACCUGGGUCGAGACUGACGCUGAGGCGCGAAAGCGUGGGGAGCAAACAGG
rnacentral:rRNA from 1 species